GUCUGGCUGGCUCAGUAGGUAGAGCAUGGGACCCUCGAUCUUAGGGUUGUGAGAUUGAGCCCCAUGCCAGGCU
rnacentral:tRNA from 1 species